rnacentral:rRNA from 1 species
CCUACGGGUGGCAGCAGUGAGGAAUAUUGCACAAUGGGCGCAAGCCUGAUGCAGCGACGCCGCGUGGGCGAUGAAGGUUUUCGGAUCGUAAAGCCCUUUUCUGUGUGACGAGCAAGGACGGUAGCACAGGAAAAAGUGUCGGCUAACUACGUGCCAGCAGCCGCGGUAAAACGUAGGACGCAAGCGUUAUCCGGAGUUACUGGGCGUAAAGCGCGAGUAGGCGGUAGCGUAAGUUACCUAUGAAAGCUCCUGGCUCAACUGGGAGAGGAUAGGUGAUACUGCGAGACUAGAGUGUAACAGAGGAACGUGGAAUUCCGGGUGUAGUGGUGAAAUGCGUAGAUAUCCGGAGGAACACCAGUGGCGAAGGCGGCGUUCUGGGUUACAACUGACGCUAAGACGCGAAAGCAUGGGGAGCGAACGGGAUUAGAUACCCGUGUAGU